rnacentral:rRNA from 1 species
UACGUAGGGGGCAAGCGUUGUUCGGAAUUACUGGGCGUAAAGGGCGCGUAGGCGGCCCAGCAAGUCGGGGGUGAAAGCCCGGGGCUCAACCCCGGAAUGGCUUUCGAAACUGCUGAGCUAGAGUACAGAAGGGGCAACCGGAAUUCCCAGUGUAGCGGUGAAAUGCGUAGAUAUUGGGAAGAACACCUGAGGCGAAGGCGGGUUGCUGGGCUGAUACUGACGCUGAGGCGCGAAAGCCAGGGGAGCAAACGGG